AUUGAACGCUGGCGGCAGGCUUAACACAUGCAAGUCGAACGAGUGGCGGACGGGUGAGUAAUUCUUGGGAAUCUCGCUUAUGGAGGGGGAUAACUACGGGACACUGUAGCUAAUACCGCGUACCAUAGGAUGAGCCCACGUGGGAUUAGGUAGUUGUUGAGGUAAAGGCUCACCAAGCCGACGAUCUCUAGCUGGUCUGAGAGGAUGACCAGCCACACUGGGACUGAGAAACGGCCCAGACUCCUACGGGAGGCAGCAGUGGGGAAGAUUGCGCAAUGGGGGCAACCUGACGCAGCCAUGACGCGUGAAUGAAGAAGGCCUUCGGGUUGUAAAGUUCUGUCGGUAGCGAGGCGUUAACUACAGAAGAAGCACCGGCUAACUCCGUGCCAGCAGCCGCGGUAAUUC
rnacentral:rRNA from 1 species